GUUGCAAAAGAGAAAGAGGG
rnacentral:misc_RNA from 1 species